AGUCGUCUAAGCGACUCUAAAAAGGCUUUAAGCUUAGAGCGUUCGCCCAUAUUGGGCGAGGUUGUA
rnacentral:ribozyme from 2 species